rnacentral:rRNA from 1 species
GUGCCAGAAGCCUCGGUAAUACGGAGGGUGCGAGCGUUAAUCGGAAUUACUGGGCGUAAAGGGCGCGUAGGCGGUCGCGCAAGUCGGGUGUGAAAGCCCCGGGCUCAACCUGGGAAUUGCAUUCGAUACUGCGUAACUAGAGUCUGGUAGAGGGAAGCGGNAAUUCCGCAUGUAGCGGUGAAAUGCGUAGAUAUGCGGAGGAACACCAGUGGCGAAGGCGGCUUCCUGGACCAAGACUGACGCUGAGGCGCGAAAGCGUGGGGAGCAAACAGGAUUAGAUACCCUGGUAGUCCACGCCCUAAACGAUGAGAACUAGCCGCUGGAUGGAUUAGCCUUUCAGUGGCGUAGCUAACGCGUUAAGUUCUCCGCCUGGGGAGUACGGCCGCAAGGUUGAAACUCAAAUGAAUUGGCGG